GACGAACGCUGGCGGCGUGCCUAAUACAUGCAAGUUGAGCGCUGAAGGUUGGUACUUGUACCGACUGGAUGAGCAGCGAACGGGUGAGUAACGCGUGGGGAAUCUGCCUUUGAGCGGGGGACAACAUUUGGAAACGAAUGCUAAUACCGCAUAAAAACUUUAAACACAAGUUUUAAGUUUGAAAGAUGCAAUUGCAUCACUCAAAGAUGAUCCCGCGUUGUAUUAGCUAGUUGGUGAGGUAAAGGCUCACCAAGGCGAUGAUACAUAGCCGACCUGAGAGGGUGGUCGGCCACAUUGGGACUGGGACACGGCCCAAACUCCUACGGGAGGCAGCAGUAGGGAAUCUUCGGAAAGAGACGAAAGGCUGACCGAGCAACGCCGCGUGAGUGAAGAAGGUUUUCGGAUCGGAAAACUCUGUUGGUAGAGAAGAACGUUGGUGAGAGUGGAAAGCUCAUCAAGUGACGGUAACUACACAGAAAGGGACGGCUAACUACGUG
rnacentral:rRNA from 1 species